ensembl:lncRNA
CUGGGUGUCAUUUAGAUUUGUAAGGGGAUAGAUUAGGGACGGGGAGAUAGGGAAAGGUAGUUUGUAGGGUGACAGGGAGGGAAGAUGCUCCCCUGAGGUUUUGUUUGGGGUUUUUGUUUAGUUAAAUUAAAAUACCAUUGUUGGAGUAUGUAUGAAAAUUAUGAGUUAUAAAGAAUGAAUGGUAUUGAAGGUAAUAAAUUAUUUUUUAUUUAAAAAAAAAGAAAAAAAAGAUAGGCUGUUUAGGUUUGCGCGUUACGUUUCUUGUUUUUGUGUUUUUCGUGUUUAUUCGUUAAUUAAACAUGUAUAAAAUUACCACACUGCAUUUUGGUCCGCCUCUCCUUCACUGGAUGAGGAUCCAAGAUGGCGUAGCAUUCAGACGUCUUGUCGUGUCGUGUCCCUUGUAUAUAUCGUUUUUUUUACAUAUUUUUCUUCGCAUAUCUUUUAAAACAUUUUGCUAAACCCCAACAUCUAAAUACUCUCCUGCAACCCACCUCACCAAUGUAGCAUGGAUCUGCUUUUUUUUCUAAAGUAUUUAUAUUUACUUCGGAUCCGGAACCCCUCAACUGAAGCUAGCCAGCUAACUACCAGCUAUCAGUCAGCAAACCAUUGCUAACCGGUCAUCAGCUAACCUUUAGCUCGGAAAGCUCUCGCCAGUUCGAACAACGUGACUCUAACGAGAGCAUAACGGACCUAUUAUUUUUAUCCCCGGAUUCCCACCGCAAACGGAACAUUUUCAGCUGGAUCUUCACAACUAGCUAACUAGCUAACCGCAACCCCGAAUGUUUACUCCUGGCUAGCGUUUCCAUUCACUUAGCUUGAAGCUAGCCCGGCCAGAGCUGCUGUGCUACCACCGAAGCAUACUCCUGGGCUACAGUAUCCAGACCCACGACCGGUCUAUCGAUGUCACCGCAUGAAGAGGCAUAAACAGACUUAACCCCAUCGCGACGUCCCCCAAAGGCUAACUUUCUAGCCCUUGCUAUCUGCUUGCUUGCUAAUUCGGCCUGCUAACUGCUAGCUUGUUUAGCCCCGGUCCGAUAACUGCUAGCUUGUUUAGCCCCGGCCUACUAACUGUUAGCUUGUUAGCACAGGCCUGCUAACUGUCUGAAUCGCCGCGUCCCCAGCCAGCCCAACCACUCACUGGACCCAUAUUUACUUUCAAUCUCUUUUCGAUUUUUAAUUCGAUUAUACCUUCCGGUAACCUGCCUCACCAAAUGUGAUACGGAAUCGCUAUUACAUUCAAGAACCUCCAGAAGCUAACCAGCUAACUAGCUACAAGCCAUUUAGUCAUUGUUAGCCACUGCUAGCGGCUUUUACCUUCUGCACAGCCAGACAGUUUUUUUUAACCUGGAUAAUACUCGCCAGUCUAGCUUCCCUGCCCCAUCCACCGCUGCCCCCUGGACACAGAUCCCUUGGCUACAUAGCUGAUGUAUGCUGGACUGUCCAUUAAUCACGGUACUCCAUUCUGCUUGUUUAUGUUUUAUCUGACUGCCCCAGCCGCACUCAGGCUCUGUGUGUAGUUAAUCCGACCCUCCCUGCCUAGUCAACGCCAUUUUACCUGCUGUUGUUGUGCUAGCUGUUUAGCUGUUGUUGUCUCACCUACUGUUUUAGCUAGCUCUCCCAAUUCAACACCUGUGAUUACUGUAUGCCUCGCUGUAUGUCUCUCUCAAAUGUCAAUAUGCCUUGUAUACUGUUGUUCAGGUUAGUUAUCAUUGUUUUAGUUUACAAUGGAGCCCCUAGUUCCACUCUUCAUACCCCUGAUACCUCCUUUGUCCCACCUCCCACACAUGCGGUGACCUCACCCAUUACAACCAGCAUGUCCAGAGAUACAACCUCUCUCAUCAUCACCCAGUGCCUGGGCUUACCUCCGCUGUACCCGCACCCCACCAUACCCUGUCUGCGCAUUAUGACCUGAAUAUAUUCUACCAUGCCCAGAAAUCUGCUCCUUUUAUUCUCUGUCCCCAACGCUCUAGGCGACCAGUUUUGAUAGCCUUUAGCCGCACCCUCAUACUACUCCUCCUCUGUUCCGCGGGUGAUGUGGAGGUAAACCCAGGCCCUGCAUGUCCCCAGGCACCCUCAUUUGUUGACUUCUGUGAUCGAAAAAGCCUUGGUUUCAUGCAUGUCAACAUCAGAAGCCUCCUCCCUAAGUUUGUUUUGCUCACUGCUUUAGCACACUCUGCUAACCCUGAUGUCCUUGCCGUGUCUGAAUCCUGGCUCAGGAAGGCCACCAAAAAUUCUGAGAUUUCCAUACCCAACUAUAACAUUUUCCGUCAAGAUAGAACUGCCAAAGGGGGAGGAGUUGCAGUCUACUGCAGAGAUAGCCUGCAAAGUAAUGUCAUACAUUCCAGGUCCAUACCCAAACAGUUCAAACUACUAAUUUAAAAAAUUACUCUCUCCAGAAAUAAGUCUCUCAUUGUUGCCGCCUGCUACCGAUCCCCCUCAGCUCCCAGCUGUGCCCUGGACACCAUUUGUGAAUUGAUCACCCCCCAUCUAGCUUCAGAGUUUGUUCUGUUAGGUGACCUAAACUGGGAUAUGUUUAACACCCCGGCAGUCCUACAAUCUAAGCUAGAUGCCCUCAAUCUCACACAAAUCAUCAAGGAACCCACCAGGUACAACCCUAAAUCUGUAAACAAGGGCACCCUCAUAGACGUCAUCCUGACCAACUGGCCCUCCAAAUACACCUCCGCUGUCUUCAACCAGGAUCUCAGCGAUCACUGUCUCAUUGCCUGUAUCCGCUACGGAGCCGCAGUCAAACGACCACCCCUCAUCACUGUCAAACGCUCCCUAAAACACUUCUGUGAGCAGUUCUUUCUAAAUCGACCUGGCCCGGGUAUCCUGGAAGGACAUUGUCCUCAUCCCGUCAGUUGAGGAUGCCUGGUCAUUCUUUAAAAGUAACUUCCUCACCAUUUUAGAUAAGCAUGCUCCGUUCAAAAAAUGCAGAACUAAGAACAGAUAUAGCCCUUGGUUCACUCCAGACCUGACUGCCCUCGACCAGCACAAAAACAUCCUGUGGUGGACUGCAAUAGCAUCGAAUAGUCCCCGCGAUAUGCAACUGUUCAGGGAAGUCAGGAACCAAUACACGCAGUCAGUCAGGAAAGCUAAGGCCAGCUUCUUCAGGCAGAAAUUCGCAUCCUGUAGCUCCAACUCCAAAAAGUUCUGGGACACUGUGAAGUCCAUGGAGAACAAGAACACCUCCUCCCAGCUGCCCACUGCACUGAGGCUAGGUAACACUGUCACCACCGAUAAAUCCAUGAUUAUCGAAAACUUCAACAAGCAUUUCUCAACGGCUGGCCAUGCCUUCCGCCUGGCUACUCCAACCUCGGCCAACAGCUCUGCCCCCCCGCAGCAACUCGCCCAAGCCUCUCCAGGUUCUCCUUUACCCAAAUCCAGUUAGCAGAUGUUCUGAAAGAGCUGCAAAACCUGGACCCGUACAAAUCAGCUGGGCUUGACAAUCUGGACCCCCUAUUUCUGAAACUAUCCUCCGCCAUUGUCGCAACCCCUAUUACCAGCCUGUUCAACCUCUCUUUCAUAUCGUCUGAGAUCCCCAAGGAUUGGAAAGCUGCCGCAGUCAUCCCUUCUUCAAAGGGGGAGACACCCUGGACCCAAACUGUUACAGACCUAUAUCCAUCCUGCCCUGCCUAUCUAAGGUCUUCGAAAGCCAAGUCAACAAACAGGUCACUGACCAUCUCGAAUCCCACCGUACCUUCUCCGCUGUGCAAUCUGGUUUCCGAGACGGUCACGGGUGCACCUCAGCCACGCUCAAGGUACUAAACGAUAUCAUAACCGUCAUCGAUAAAAGAAAGUACUGUGCAGCCGUCUUCAUCGACCUUCAUUCGACCUUGCCAAGGCUUUCGACUCUGUCAAUCACCAUAUUCUUAUGGGCAGACUCCGUAGCCUCGGUUUUUCUGAUGACUGCCGUGCCGGGUUCACCAACUACUUUGCAGACAGAGUUCAGUGUGUCAAAUCGGAGGGCAUGCUGUCCGGUCCUCUGGCAGUCUCUAUGGGGGUGCCACAGUGUUCAAUUCUCGGGCCGACUCUUUUCUCUGUAUAUAUCAAUGAUGUUGCUCUUGCUGCGGGCGAUUCCCUGAUCCACCUCUACGCAGACGACACCAUUCUAUAUACUUCCGGCCCGUCCUUGGACACUGUGCUAUCUAACCUCCAAACAAGCUUCAAUGCCAUACAACACUCCUUCCGUGGCCUCCAACUGCUCUUAAACGCUAGUAAAACCAAAUGCAUGCUUUUCAACCGUUCGCUGCCUGCACCUGCACACCUGACUAGCAUCACCACCCUGGAUGGGUCCGACCUUGAAUAUGUGGACAUCCUAUAAGUACCUAGGUGUCUGGCUAGACUGUAAACUCUCCUUCCAGACUCAUAUCAAACAUCUCCAAUCGAAAAUCAAAUCUAGAGUCGGCUUUCUAUUCCGCAACAAAGCCUCCUUCACUCACGCCGCCAAACUUACCCUAGUAAAACUGACUAUCCUACCGAUCCUCGACUUUGGCGAUGUCAUCUACAAAGUAUCUUCCAACACUCUACUCAGCAAACUGGAUGCAGUUUAUCACAGUGCCAUCCGUUUUGUCACUAAUGCACCUUAUACCACCCACCACUGCGACCUGGAUGCUCUAGUUGGCUGGCCCUCGCUACAUAUUCGUCGCCAGACCCACUGGCUCCAGGUUGGAGUUGCAAAUGAGAACUUGUUCUCAACUAGCCUACCUGGCUAAAUAAAGGUGAAAUAAAAUUUAAAAAUAAAAAAAAACUGGAAGAAAACAGUAACAGAAUCACCCACCACAACAGGACCAAGCGGCGUGGUGACAGGCAGUGGCAGGAGGAGCAGCGAAAUCCGGAUUUCUGGACAUGGGAGGAGAUAUUGGAUGGAAAGGGUCCCUGGGCACAGCCUGGAGAAUAUCGCCGCCCCAAAGAAGAACUGGAGGCGGCGAAAGCGGAGAGGCGCUGGUAUGAGGAGGCAGCAUGACGACGUGGAUGGAAGCCCGAGAGUCAGCCCCAAAAAUGUCUUGGGGGGGCACAGGGUGAGUGUGGCAGAGUCAGGAGUCACACCUGAGCCAACUCCCCCUGUUUAUCGUAAGGAGCCAAGGAGGAAACCAGAGCCAGAGCCGGUGUUAGAGGUGAGCGAAGCAGAGACUGUGAAGGAGUUAAUGGGGAAAUUGAAGGAGAGAGUUAUGAGGGAGUUGCUGUGUUGGUGCAUUAGGCACGGAAUUCGCCCGACGGAGCGUGUCGGGGAUUUGAUGGCACCUGGGUCAGCGCUCCAUACUCGUCCUGAGGUGCGUGUUAGUUGGCUGGUGAAGAUUGUGCCAGCCUCACGCACCAGGCCUCCUGUGCACCUCCCUAGCCUUGCACGUCCUGUGCCAGCCCUGCUCUCAAGAUCUCCAGUACGCCUUCAUGGUCCGGUCCAUCCUGUGCCACCUCCACACACCAGCCCUCCGGUGGCAGCUUCCCGCACCAGGCUUCCUGUGCGUGUUCUCGGCCCAGUACCACCAGUGCCAGCACCAUGCACCAGGCCUUCAGUGCGCUUCGCCUGUCCGGCGCUGCCAGAGCCUUCCUCCUCUCCAGCGCUGCCGGAGUCUCCCGCCUGUUUAGCGCUGCCAGAGCCUUUCUCCUCUCCAGCGCUGCCGGAGUCUCCCGCCUGUUCAGCGCUGCCAGAGCUGCCAGUCUGCAUGGAGCAGCCAGAGCUGCCAGUCUGCAUGGAGCAGCCAGAGCUGCCAGUCUGCAUGGAGCAGCCAGAGCUGCCAGUCUGCAUGGAGCAGCCAGAGCGGUCAGUCUGCAUGGAGCUGCCAGUCUGCAUGGAGCAGCCAGAGCUGCCAGUCAGCCAGAAUCUUCCAGAUCCGCCAGUCAGCCAGGAUCCGCCAGUCAGCCAGGAUCUGCCAGAACCGCCAGUCAGCCAGGAUCUGCCAGAACCACCAGCCAGCCAGGAUCUGCCAGAUCCAACUACCUGCCUGAGCUUCCCCUCAGUCCCGAGCUUCCCCUCAGUCCCGAGCUUCCCCUCAGUCCCGAUUUUCCCCUCAGUCCCGAGCUUCCCAUCAGUCCCGAGCUUCCCAUCAGUCCCGAGCUUCCCAUCAGUCCCGAGCUACCCCUCAGUCCCGAGCUACCCCUCAGUCCCGAGCUGCCCCUCAGUCCAGUGGGGUCCUUGGUGAGGGUUACUAGGCCAAGGUCGGCGGCGAGGGUCGCCAAUCAAACGACGCGAUGCUGGUGGACUAAGACUUUGUUGGAGUGGGGUCCGGGGG